rnacentral:rRNA from 1 species
UACAGAGGUCUCAAGCGUUGUUCGGAUUCAUUGGGCGUAAAGAGCGUGUAGGCGGCUAUACAGGUCCGCUGUGAAAACUCGAGGCUCAACCUCGAGACGUCGGUGGAAACCGUAUGGCUAGAGUCCGGAAGAGGAGAGUGGAAUUCCUGGUGUAGCGGUGAAAUGCGCAGAUAUCAGGAAGAACACCCGUGGCGAAGGCGGCUCUCUGGGACGGUACUGACGCUGAGACGCGAAAGCGUGGGGAGCGAACAGG